AACAGAAAGCGAGUUUGUAAUCCAAUCAAAGGAUCGCGCUAUUUUUCGCUUGUGCCCGAUCUUAUUAUAAUACUAUAAUGUCUUAGCCGUAUUUUAAAAUCGUCAAUAUAAAUAAUAACAUCGUCUCCCCACGGUGCACUGCACGUUAAAUACCGCGUCCCGUUAAAAUCCAAAAUGAUUUACACUACCUUGGCUUUUGGUGAAAUUAAAAGGAAACGCACGUAAUC